AGCUAGUUGUAUUAUUAGUUAAUGCAAGAUCGACUACGUCGACUAAAGUUCUAGGUAGAAUAAUGAUGAUGACAAUUUUUUACCUAUAUGUCUUGACCAAGUCUCGUGCCAGCAGUCGCGGUAAUACGUGGAAGACUAGUGUUAUUCAUCUUUAUUAGGUUUAAAGGGUACCUAGACGGUAUUUCUAGCCCAAAAUAGGGUACGGAUUUACUAGAGUUUUAUGUGAGGAGGGGAGUACUCGUGGAGUAGAGAUGAAAUUUUGUUAUACUAUGAGGUAACUGGUGGCGGCGAAAGCAACCUUCUAUGUAUAAACUGACGUUGAGGGACGAAGGCUUGGGUAGCAAAUAGGAUUAGAUACCCUAGUAGUCCAAGCAGACAAUUCUGAAUGCCAUAGAUUAGAUUAUUUUUGGUCUAUAAAUGAAAGUGUAAGCAUUCCACCUUAGGAGUAAUGUGGCAACACAGGAACUGAAAUCAUUAGACCGUUUCUGAAACCAGUAGUGAAGUAUGUUAUUUAAAUAGAUGGUCCACAAAAAACCUUACCACAACUUGAAUA
rnacentral:rRNA from 1 species